CAACCAGCCCACUCAUUUGGCACACACUUUGGCCAUGUCCAAAGUCUGGCAUGCCUACUACUUCUAGUGUAGUGAUCAUACUACACGCUACAUGAUGGGACUUCCGAACAAUUAAGCAUGUGCUUUUUAGUGAAAAUCGUGCAGUAUGCCAAAUCCAAAACGUAUUACUUUUGAUACAUUCAAAACAACUGGGAACUCAAAAAUCAAACAAGCUCAGUCUAGGAAAACAAUUGACAGAGCACUGAGAAGACAGGUUUUCCUCCUGCUCCUCUCAUUAAAGAUCGAGCAAGAGAUUGCUACUGCAAACCUGAAUUUAAACUCUGCGAUCCUGCUUCAAUGUUGGAGAUAGAGACCCUUAACAGCGACACUGGAGAAGGGCUGUGACCAUGGCUUAGGAAAGGCUUUGGAUGAGCAGAUUUUUUGUGUCCCGGAGAGCCAGCGCAACAUCCUAGCGUGUGGUGUCUGAGGCGUUCAGAUGUGAACCACUCAUCAGAACCAGUCAUCAGAACCAGUCAUCAGAACCACUCAUAAGAACCACUCAUCAGAACCACUCAUCAGAACCACUCAUCAGAACCAGUCAAUGUCAAGCCUGACAAAGAUGUAAAGCGACCGGGCCAGGCCUUGGAGAGACAGGGCCGCAUGGGGCACGGUCAGGACACCUGACGCAGGCAGGCAGACAGGCCUGACGUAGAGGAGGAACAUGAGGAAGAACAUUUCACGCACACAAGGACAAAGAUUUAAAAAAAAAAAACAUCCAUGCAAACUCAUGUACCAAAGGACUCAAGCACACAGAAGCAUGCCCAUAAUGAGUUGCAUGAAUGGUUUUGAAUCCAGCCGUAUCCAGGCUUCUAUGCCGUUCUUAUCUGGACUUGUGUUGGCUCCUGUUCCUGGGGACCAUGGGGAAGGACAAGUCCUGGCUGUCCUGGUUCUUGACAGAGGAGAUAAAUCACACAGCACACUGGAGGAUACCCUUCCAGCCGGCAAGCUGGGAACUUCAUUAUCCCGCCCUCGCCACACAUUACCAUGUAGAUCGGCCCUGAUUGGGCCAGAGCCGGUGUGCGCAGCCUACUUCUGUCACCGCCAGAGGAUCCUCAGAUCUGUCUCAGCCAACGUGGACCCAACCAAGAAGAGAGGAAGGAGAGGAGAGGAUAAUUAGAUAUUAAAGUUUGGAAAUAGGAGGAAAGCGUGAAGAACCCAGAGCCUUGAUUAAAGACGUACGGCCAAACACCUUAGAGAUUGUGCCAUCAAUCUUUUGAGGUAAUUUUUACAAUCAAGCACAAUCUCAUGGAGAACUUUAUAGCAUUUUAUUAUAUAUUAUUUGAACUGGAGAACACCCGACUACUUUCCAUGUAUUUAAUGUCAACUUUGUGGUUUUAAGUACAGUUUCUUUCAUUUUCCAUGGAAUUGCUUUCUGGUAAGCAAAAUCGGUGUAAAAUCAGGGGGGGGCUCCACGCAACCACUGUUUCCCAUUUCUGUUCCUUACAUUCCGCAUCAACACUCUCACACCUUGUAUAUUUUCCUAACACGUAUUUUUCUUUCCCACCUCAAGCCACCCGCCUUGCAAAGUUUAAGAAUCAGUCUCCCACGUGAAAAAGCGCUUUGUACAAGUCUUUGUCAUGUGACUUCACAGAAGGAAAGGCCACAUUAUUAAAUGAAAACAUAGUUAUGAUACAAGACCACCAUGUUCAAAGAAAGAAGAGGUAGACAGCGCAUAUCUCACAAUGGGCAUGACUAUGUGUCUUGGAGAGUGUUUGUGUGGUCCCGUAGCAUAAAGUAAGAAAACCCAUUCUUGUCAUUGGAGCCAGCAUGUAGGGAGAUUGGCUUCCUCUCUCACAGUAGAGAAAACACACACACAUUCAGACAAACACACACCCACCCACGCUCAUACACACAAGUUUCCUGGCAGAGGAAUCAUGAGUGCAUUGUCCAAUGUGGUCUGUCAACGUGAAUCGAUUUGUUUUCUUACCUGUCCUUGCCUAAGUGUGUGUGUUUGUGUGUGUGUGUGUGUGUGUGUGUGUACAUGAAUCCUUAUGAUAUUUGAAUGUGUUUGUAGACUUAUGGGUUAUGAUUAGGGUUUGGGGUUAGGGUAAGACAAUGCCUAGGGUGGUGCGUUAAAGUUAGGUUUGUGCGUUAAUUACGUCAAGAUUAGGGUAAGGUUAGAGUCGGAGUUAGGAUGAGUGUGAGGAAAAUACAUUUUUGAAUGAAUGAACAAACAAAUGUUAGUUAGGUUGUGUACAUUUAACAGUAAUAGUGUGUGAGAGAGGAAUACAACAAUAUUUACCACAUUUUAAGUGAUGUUUGUGUUAUAAAUGCUACAGAAUGCCUUCAAAAGCACAACAUAAAUGUGUUACAAAGCAUUUAUAACUGUAUGUCAUGCUUUAUAACGGGGUCAUUAAUAUGGCAUUAACAGUGUGAUGUAGGCUACAUACAACUUUCAAAUGUGAUAUUAUCCGCUUUAUUGAAUAUGACAUAAACCAAUGCUUUACAAAGGGUGACUAAGGACUCGUUGAUACAGACUUUAUAAAUCAUUGUAAAUUGAGGUUGCAAAACAGUUAAUUGUUAGGAUAAUGGGUUAAAUUACCUGGUGAUUGCAUAAUGUAUCACCAAGUUACUGAAAAAUUGUAUGCUAAAUACUAUAUACCGAAAUGUGUGGUAUAUGGUCAAUAUACCAGGGGUAAGGCCUGGAACCAUGGAAUCCGGCCAGGAAUCACAAACUCCGGCCUGGAACAACACACUCCAGCCAGGAACCACGUACUGCGGCCUGGAACCAUGUACUCCAGCCUGGAACCACGCACUCCGGCCAGGAACCACAAACUCCAGCCUGGAACCAGGCACUCCAGCCUGGAACCACGCACUCCGGCCAGGAACCACAAACUCCAGCCUGGAACCAGGCACUCCGGCCAGGAACCAUGUACUCCAGCCUGGAACCACGCACUUCGGCCAGAUACCAUUGCCUCAGGCCUAACAACAGUGUCCUUAUUUGUAUUAUAAACUAGUGACCAAUGGGAAAGUUUUAUGUUAUUUUUGAUAUCAUGAUUUAUUACAGCUGUAGUCUGUAAAAUAACAUUAAACUGUAUCCAGGUACACCACAAUGCAUAGUGCCUAAGAACAGUUCUUUGCCAUGAUAUAUUGUACAUGUACCACACUCUUGCCUACCAUUUUCCUAUUGGUUACAUAGCCAAUAUGGGCAUCAGGAUGACACACAGUAUUACAGUAAUGUGUAGAACAAGUCUUUGGUAUGGCUCUUUUACAGUGCUUAUAUAGAGUGCCUUCCAAAAGUAUUCAGAACCAUUAACAUUUUGUUGUGCUGUAGGCCUAAAUAUUGUAUUUUCUUUUGCCAUCAAUCUUACACAUAAUACCGCAUAGUGACAAAGCUAAAGCAUAUUGUCACUUGUGGCAAUUUAUUGAAAACGAAAAACUGAAAUAUGUUACGUACGAUAGAAAUAACUAUCCUGGCAUUGCAUGAAUACCUUAAAGCUUCAAUUGAAUAUGAUUUUUAUUAAGCAGUGCUUUUGCCACCCUUCAUAAAGCAUAGGUUUAUGUCAUAUUUGAGACAGCGAGUUAUGUCACAGUUAUGACAAAAAUAACACUGUAUAUUUACAGUGGGUAGCUUAUUCGUCUACUGAAGGUGGCCUAAAGGAACUCCAUUGACCUGCUACUGUAGGUAAUCUAGCUAAAGUCUUGUAAGCUAGCUGUCUUUAAUCAUUGUUAAUAGAAAAAGGCAUCAAAUGCUUUGUAGAUAAAGGUCAGACAAGAUGUAGAACUGUUGCUCCAGCUGUGAGUGCAAGCAGUAGCCAAUAGGGAGAGUGUAGGCAGGCUAAUCUACUGGAUGGAACAGGUACUUUUGUGGGAAGAGUUAUAGAAAUGUUCCGUGUAGUAUCAUUUUAGUGUAGUAAAAUGUUUUUCUUUGUGAAGUUUUCUGUCAUCACCGCAGCUCCAUAAUUGUCUCUGUUCUCAGAGACUCUAUAUAUGUUUAUAUGAAUCAAAGACCAUCCGUUCACAUGGUAGGUUACAUAUGGGCCUGUCGCUAGGAGCAGUGAUGAGAACAUUUAGACUAAAAGAGAGUUUGGUUCUGUGUACAGGGACAGUGGGUGGGAAGGGGAUUUAUUAUUUGUGUCUUAUUUUCUAAAAUGAUGCCCUGAUGUGUUGCACCUCUUGAUGUGUUGCACCUCUUGAUGUAUUGUACCUCUUGAUAUGUUGUACCUCCUGAUGUACAGUACCACCCGAUGUACUGAACCUCCUAAUGUGUUGUACCUCUUGAUAUGUUGUACCUCUUGAUGUGUUACACCUCUUGAUAUGUUUUACCUCCUGAUGUACAGUACCACCCGAUGUACUGUACCUCCUGAUGUAUUGUACCUCUUGAUAUGUUGUACCUCCUGAUGUGUUGCACCUCUUGAUAUGUUGUUCCUCUUGAUGUGUUGCACCUUUUGAUAUGUUGUACCUCCUGAUGUACAGUACCACCCUAUGUACUGUACCUCCUAAUGUGUUGUACCUCUUGAUGAGUUGUACCUUCUGAUGUACUGUAACUCUAGAUGUGUUGUACAUCUUGAUGUACUGUAGCUCUUGAUGUGUUGUAUCUCUUGAUGUACUGUAGCUCUUGAUGUACUGUAACUCUUGAUGUGUUGUGAAUAAAAACAGAAUCCAAU
ensembl:lncRNA